GAAAUUGAAUUUAAAUAAUGAAAAAAUGUGCUAGGGUCAAAAGAGAGUUUAUGCAUGACUCCGAUGUAAACCUCAUUGUGUGCCACCACGCCGGAAAUCACCUCCGGCUGCGGUGGCCACCAAAAACACAGAUUUGACCCACCAUCUAGCUCGUCUUCUCAUGCUCUUCCUAAACCUUCCCUCAAUUCCAUGAAAAUCUAAACCUAAGGUUGUAACCGAAUCAUGAUAUCCCAAGAACUCUAGGUGUUGGAAGUUAAAUUAAAUGCUCCUUACGAGGACUUUAAGCUUAGGACCCUAGAGUUUUUGUUCCUCCCUCAACACUCUAUGUCAUAGUAUAAAAAAUGGUGAAAAGUGAAGGUUUCAUAAGUUACUUGCCGGAGACGACGAAGGCGAUGACGAAUUUCCGAUGAGUCCUUCUUACUCUGAAUCUCUUUUUUUUCUUUUGAUUAUACAACCUUCUUCUCCUUCUUCUCGUUGUUUAUGUUGUGUUCACCGUGAUUGAAUUGAACCGAGUUAGUGAGUGAAGCUUGAGAGGUUAUGGUGAGUGAUUGAGUUGUGAGAGUUCUAGGUUGGUGAAGGUUGAUGAAUGAUGAAGACACGUUUUUGGGGAGGAGAGGUUUUUGGAAUUUGAGAGGUUUAUGAGGAUUUUCUGAUUGUUGAGAAUGAGAGGUUUAAUGAUUGAAUUCUGGUAAAAAUGAUUUCCCUCCUCCUGAUUGAGGAGAUGAUGAAUUGUAUUUAUGAGUUGUUAUGAUGUGGCCCAGGGAUCUAAGAAAUCAGUUAGGGAAGUUUGUUGUAAUUGAAAUAUUCAUGAAAUCGAGGAAAAAUGGUUAUGAGUUUUGUUAUUGUAGUUAGUUAGGUUAGUUGAUAUUUGGUGGUGAUGGAUUCUUGCAACUAGGGUGUGUUGUGAUGGGGUAUGGCUCAUGAACUUAAGACAUUUGGAGCAAGACCACCAUGAAUGACUUGAAGAAAAUGGUUACUUACAAGUGAAGAAAUUUGGUAAUGAAGUUGAAAAUGAAAAUGAAAGCAUGAAGAGCAAAGUGGAAACUUGACAUUAGGUUUAGGGAUUUAGAUGAGUUGACUUUGGUCAAUCGGUUGACCAAAAAGUCAAUAGUUGACCAAAGUCAACUACAGGCCAAAAGUCAAUUUUUUUGUAUUUUUUUGUAUUUUAUUCAUGUAUGGAUAUUUUUAUGAUCUAUGUAAUGGAAUUUGGUAUUUGAAUGAAAUGGAUUAGUAUUUGAAUGAA